rnacentral:rRNA from 1 species
AUACGGAGGAUGCGAGCGUUAUCCGGAUUUAUUGGGUUUAAAGGGUGCGUAGGCUGUGCGUUAAGUCCGGGGUGAAAUGCCGUCGCUCAACGACGGAGCUGCCCUUGAUACUGGCGUGCUGGAGUACGGAUGCCGUUGGAGGAAUGAGUGGUGUAGCGGUGAAAUGCUUAGAUAUCACUCAGAACACCGAUUGCGAAGGCAUCUGACGAAUCCGUCACUGACGCUGAGGCACGAAAGCGUGGGGAUAGAACAGGAUUAGAUACCCUGGUAUUCCACGCCGUAAACGAUGAUGACUAACCGUCGGCGAUAGACAGCCGGUGGCCAAGCGAAAGCGAUAAGUCAUCCACCUGGGGAGUACGGCGGCAACGAUGAAACUCAAAGGAAUUGACGGGG